rnacentral:rRNA from 1 species
UACGUAGGGGGCGAGCGUUGUCCGGAUUCAUUGGGCGUAAAGAGCUCGUAGGCGGCUUAGCAAGUCGGGUGUGAAAACUUCAGGCUCAACCUGGAGAUGCCACUCGAUACUGCUAUGGCUAGAGUCCGGUAGGGGACCACGGAAUUCCUGGUGUAGCGGUGAAAUGCGCAGAUAUCAGGAGGAACACCGGUGGCGAAGGCGGGUCUCUGGGCAGUGAACUGACGCUGGAGGAGCGAAAGCGUGGGUAGCGAACAGG